AUAAAAUUUCUCCUUGACUGUGUUUAGUUGUUUGAGGUCAAUAAAUGAAUCGUGUUUUAUACAACAGAGCUCCGUAAUUUUAAAGUUAAUUUAAGAAACUUCCUAAGAAAAUUAAGAGAAUGAAAGGAAUGAAACGGAUAUGGUUGAUUUUGAUGGUCAUUGCUGUUGCUUUCCAGGACUUUGUCGUGAGCAAUGCAGUCCGCAGUGAACCUGUGAGGUGUGGGCUAUUAAUGUGUCCGCCGAUUUUCUGUCCAUUUCCUAAACCAACUGUUCAGGACAACGGAUGUCCAGGCUGUGCAGAUUGUUAAUUAUGGGUAGACGGUGUGAUUGAGUGAAAUACAACCAAAUUUUAAUUGAAUCUUUGAGAGAAAA